rnacentral:rRNA from 1 species
UACGAAGGGGGCUAGCGUUGUUCGGAAUUACUGGGCGUAAAGCGCACGUAGGCGGAUUGUUAAGUUAGGGGUGAAAUCCCAGGGCUCAACCCUGGAACUGCCUUUAAUACCGGCAAUCUCGAGUCCGAGAGAGGUGAGUGGAAUUCCGAGUGUAGAGGUGAAAUUCGUAGAUAUUCGGAGGAACACCAGUGGCGAAGGCGGCUCACUGGCUCGGUACUGACGCUGAGGUGCGAAAGCGUGGGGAGCAAACAGG